UUGGUGUAGUGGUCGUCGUCACAUCACUGGUCGCCACAUCUUGAUUCUUGGGAUUGCUGACUAUCGGAAGUAGAAGGAAGAUAGUCAACUGGAAGGGGAUGAUGGCGCCCUUGUCGCACGGCCCUACUCCGUCCUGCCGCAGGAGUGAGGCCGAAAUCAGUCUAGCCCUUCGCUUCGUUGUGAGCGGUCGCCGGUCGGGAGCCUAUAGCUCAUUCAACAAAUUGGUCCCAGCAGAUCGUGUCACCAUAAAUCAAAUCUAAUGUGCAAUAUUUUACUUGCAUACAUGUGUAGAAACAGAAAUGCACAUACACAGGCC